GUGAGGCACUCACAAUUUACACGCUCUCUCACACAUGGACACGUCAAGUUUUCUCUUAAAUUUUCCAUUCUCUGCUGAAGCGUGAAAUACACUCGCUCUGCUCUCGAAACUUAUUCCUCAUUCCAUUCCAUCUUCCUCUAAUUUCUCAAUUCUGUUUUCUUAUUUUCGGCUUUUCAAUUUUCAAAUCAGUUUGAAAAUACCGUUUCUCAAAUAAUUGGAAACUCCCAUCGGUUCUGGUUUUCUCCUCUUUCCCUCUGUCGACGUCUACUACGUUUCUGUCUAUCUGUGCUUUCUUCUCUCUUAGUUUUGAUUUUUCCUUCUCAAUGCAGUCUUUUUUUCUCCUAUUUCACUCCGCCUCAUCUCCCCAUCUCUAUCGCUUAUUUUUCGUUUCAUAUGCUCGCUUUCUUACUGGGUUGUUGAAGACUGAAGAGCAAUGAAACUGUUUUGAGGUCUCAACUUGAAUGUAUAAACUAUGUUGUCCAGGAAUAUAUCAUCCAAAUUGGCUAUUGGCUAUCAUAAUAACUGGUGAAAUCUACAGUGAACUUAACAAAGUAUAUACUUUUUUUAGUAUCUUUGUUUUAUUCUCCUGUUAAGGUUCUGCUACUACACAUCAGGAAAUGGAGGUUUCAGCCCGGCCAACCAUACCAGGUUGUUGUCUAGACAUUAAAACGGCGCUGAAAUGUUUUAACUGAAGCCGGAUAGCAGAAUGGCUCUAUGUGAUUUGAUAUUUGUAUGCUUAUAUCUUAGCGUGCACUUGUUUAAUUUAUGAUUUGAUACCUCAUGCACUUUUUAUUGUGAUAUUGAUUAGCUUCUUAUAAUUGCUCAUGUUAAUAUUAGUCAUGAGGUCUGUUGAACUUAGGAAAUGUUCAUUUUUUUUAAUAUGUAAGUACUCAAGCACUUACAAAUAAAUUUUAAUAUUAAUAAU